GCCGGACCCCUCGUGCGGUGGUACCUCGGUGAACUCCCCCAGGGCAGGAAUGCAGCAAGGGCAAUCGAGCUCUUCCAGGUGCGCGAGGGGUUCUCCAUG
rnacentral:SRP_RNA from 1 species